rnacentral:lncRNA from 1 species
GCUGGGGGUUCCCGUCAGACAGCACUCAGCGGGGGUGAGGGGAGAGGGAGAGAGGCAGAGACAGAGAGACAAAAAGAAAGAGAGACAGAGACAGAGAGAAAGAGAGAGACAGAGAAAGAGAAACAGAGAGGAGGGAGUAAGUCCAGGUAAAAAACAAAAAAAAAAAUUGAGAAUAAAACAAGAGAGAAACAGAGACAUAGAGACACAGAGAAAGACACAGUGAGACACAGGAGAGAGACAGAGACAGAGAGAGAUGCUGAGAGACAGACAGGGAGAGGGAGAGAGAGAGGGCGAGAGAGAGAGGAGACACCAAGACACAAAGAGGGCGGAGAGACAGAAACAGAAAGAGGGAGACAGCGGGGCUGGACGGACGUGUGGCCGGGCCAGUGGAGAGGAGAGAGGAGUCCGCAGACAGCGUUCAGAGGCCGCGCUGCCUGGGUGCUGAGCCGUCCCAGUGUUCACAGUCGCAGUUUGUCCUUACAAAACGCCCAGCCACCCCGACCUGCGGUGCUUAGGGAAGACCUGGCUGUGCAGGUCUCAGAAGGGGCCAGUGAGGCCCGGUGCGGGUACGGGCGGAUGCAGAUGCAGCCAGGAGGACAGGCGGGAGUGGGGGGGGCCUGUCCCACACGGGGGCCUCGGCAGCACCGGCAUGGGUGGAGGCCAGUAUGGCCAGGUGUGGCGGGAGGGAGCACCGUCUGGCUUGGGUCGUCCAUCCUGACAGGACGCUACAAGGCCAGGAGCCCCGCGCCCCGUGUCCUGCCCCCCUGCUCGAGGACAAGCCCCAGCCGCCAGCCUCUGCUGGGUUCCGACAGGCCUUGCUGGGAGCUGGGGGUUGCUGAUGACGCUGAACAGUUGGGGGCUGAGGCUCACAGACUGCGCUGACCCCAGCAGGCACAGCUGGGUCCAGGGACUCGGGAACUCGCAGCCUGACACGGGCCGGGCCCCCCGGGGUGGGUGCUGAGGGUCUCGGAUGCCCUCCCUGGCUGGACGUUGUGGCUGUGCAGAUACUGAGCGGUAGCCCUAAGCAGGAGAGUCCCCUGGGCUCAGCUACCCAGGACAAGGUCAACAGGGACACAGGCCCCAGUUCCAGGAGAAAAACAAGCACGGCCAGCGAUCACAAAUCCUGAACAUAGGGCCUGAAAGG